rnacentral:lncRNA from 1 species
AGUCUCAUUUGAUUUCGGUGCCCGGAGGUGCUGAUGCUGUAGAUCCCUCCACCUGCCUUUGGUGAUUGACUUUUCUGCCUGUCAGGUUAGGUGGCUUCUCUUGGACGGGGUCUGGUACUCAUUGUGUGCCGGUUUAAAAAAAAUAACAACAAAAAACUGCUGUGUGGCAUCAGAAUUGGAUGGCCAGGCCCAAUAUGUAGCCAUGAAUGCGUACGAGUCACUGGAAAUGUGCUCAUUUAAGACAAACACCUCUUGGACCCCCAGCUGUCAAACGAGUCUAACGGUGUGCCUGCCCAGAUCACCAAAAGACUCGUUCCAUCCAUCCCAGUGACUCACGACGUCCAGAAUAUUGUGGUCUCUUAUAGGUUGGAUGUGAACCUCCAAGGCAGCUCCUAAAAAGAUGGUUUAUUUGCCCCACCCACCCAACACACCCUAGUGAAAGUAAACUCUUUGAUCUGAUCAGUGUCCUGUUUCAAAGUCACACUUACUAUGCUGUGUACAACUGCUAUCUUAAGGUUGUGCAGUUCUCUGAGUGAGUCUAACUUAUAAAGCAGCAAUUGGCUCCAUUUUUACCUGAAACUGAGUCAGAACGACUCUUCAUUUUACUUGUACAAGCUGGGAGGUGGUAGCACUCGUCUUUAAUCCCAGCACUUGGGAGGCAGAAGCAGGCAGAUCUCUUGAGUUUGUGGCCAGCCUGGUCUAACAAGUUCCAGGAUAGCCAGGGCUAGACAAAGAAACCCUGUCUAUAAACAAACAAACAAACAGUAAAAAAAAUCUCUCGUGCAAAUGAAAUCACCACCUACAGAUGCAAUUAAGUUAAAUCAUGGGUGAAACAAAAUCGUAUCAGAGAAGUCAGGUCUUGAGCUUAUCCAACGCCAUAGCAAUGAGAAAUGGAACCCCUUCGCAGGACUAUAAAGCAAUAACCUAAUACUAAGGCACCACUGAGCUCCUCUGUCACCAUGCCCUCUUAUACAGUGCUGACACUGAGGACAGGCAGGCCCAUGCCCAGGUAUGCAAUAGCUCACGCGAGACAAACGCUAAUGUGAUGAUGGCAUCAGGCUGUCACACGGCUGAAGCCCACUGGGCAGACUUCUUAGUACUCAUAAGCAGGUUACACCUUAACUGGGCCUGAGAUCUGCCCUCUUAGGUGCCUCUCCUUUUCCAGAACCCUCUAGAUUACUUUGAAGAAUGCGCCCUUUGAAUGGAUUUUCACCCCUUACUUCCUGUCCUUAGGAAAUCCAGAACCCAGAAGCCUUUCUUCGUGUUAAACUACCCACAACUACCCCGGUUUGCCUUGCAUCAGUUGGUGGUGCUUUAACUACCCCCUCCCCACAAAAAAUAAAAUAAAAUAAAAGAUGGGCUCUCAUUUAAAUAUAACUGAGAAGUCCCUGGCAGCUGAUAGCUCCUGGGAGAGGGAAAGUCAGCUUUCUUCAAGGAUACAACUUCUGAGAAGCCACGUGACCCAUGAUCUUGCAUAUGCUGGCAGCCCUAAAUGGAUUCAGUGAGUUACACACACACACACACACACACACACACGCAUACAUAAACGUGCACAUACAUAAGUGCACCAUCGGGAAGGAGUAGUGGUGGCAAGGACAGGGAAGUAAUGAAGGGUGAACUUUAUCAAAAAUAAAUAUGUAUGUGUGGCAUUCUCAAUAAAAAAUAUUAAAAAUAAAAGAGCAAGGCUGGGUGGCUCCAAGUUUAAGGCCAGCCUGGUUUACAUAUCAAAUUCCAGGCUAAUCAAGGCUACAUAGUGAGACCCUGUCUC